UAACCUGCCCAAGAGAUCGGGAUAACACCUGGAAACAGAUGCUAAUACCGGAUAACAACAGAUGAUGCCUAUCAACUGUUUAAAAGAUGGUUCUGCUAUCACUCUUGGAUGGACCUGCGGUGCAUUAGCUAGUUGGUAGGGUAACGGCCUACCAAGGCGAUGAUGCAUAGCCGAGUUGAGAGACUGAUCGGCCACAUUGGGACUGAGACACGGCCCAAACUCCUACGGGAGGCAGCAGUA
rnacentral:rRNA from 1 species